rnacentral:lncRNA from 1 species
AGCAACCUAGGCUUCUGCUAUGACCAACUCAAUGGUGAGACCCUUAGUGAAGAUUAGCUCACCGACUAUGAUUUUAGUAGCUUCAGGAGGUUCAGCUACGAUAGGCUCCAUAUUAGGCUCAGCUGAUCCUUCAUCUUGCUGUUGAUCUUUUUUCCUCAUCUCAGUGUAUGGAUCAAGUCGGCCGAUAUUAACUUUAGGAAAGAAGUGCACCACCUAAGUCUUACAAGCAUCAAAGCCACACCCAUAGGCA